UUCUAUAAGAUAUCUUUAAUAGUAAAAUCUGCUCAAUGAAAUAUUAAAUAGCCGCUAAUAGUGCUAAGGUAGCAUAAUCAUUCGUCUUUUAAUUUAAGACUAGUACAAAAGAUUUCACACUUAAAUUAAUUUCUAUAAUUUUAUUAAUUUAAUUUUUUUAAAAAGUAAUAAAACUUUUAUAAAAAGGAAAGACGACAAGACCCUAUUGAAUUUUACUUUAGUUUAACUGGGGUAGUUAAAUAAUUUACAUUUUAUAAAUAAUACUUAUAUAAAUGAUCCAACUAAAUUGUCCAAAUGAUCAAAUUACCAUAGGGAUAACAGCGCAAUAAAUAUCCAUAGAUCUUAUAAAAAUAUUAUGAUUACGACCUCGAUGUUGAAUAAUAACCUAAACAUUACGUAAUAGUUAUUAAAGGAAGUCUGUUCGACUUUUAAAAAAUUACA
rnacentral:rRNA from 1 species